ACAAUGGGGGAAACCCUGAUGCAGCCAUGCCGCGUGUGUGAAGAAGGCCUUCGGGUUGUAAAGCACUUUCAGUAGGGAGGAAGGUAGUGUAGUUAACACCUGCACUAUUUGACGUUACCUACAGAAGAAGCACCGGCUAACUCCGUGCCAGCAGCCGCGGUAAUACGGAGGGUGCGAGCGUUAAUCGGAAUUACUGGGCGUAAAGCGCAUGCAGGCGGCCUGUUAAGUCAGAUGUGAAAGCCCGGGGCUUAACCUCGGAAUUGCAUUUGAAACUGGCAGGCUAGAGUCUUGUAGAGGGGGUAGAAUUUCAGGUGUAGCGGUGAAAUGCGUAGAGAUCUGAAGGAAUACCAGUGGCGAAGGCGGCCCCCUGGACAAAGACUGACGCUCAGAUGCGAAAGCGUGGGGAGCAAACAGGAUUAGAUACCCUGGUAG
rnacentral:rRNA from 1 species